GCAGUGUGAAUCUUAAUACUUUACUCUUACUGCGAUAUAGCCAUUCCAACUCCAUUGUCUGAAUAUCUGCUGACAUUUUAUUCAGUAUCUUAUGUAACUGCUAAGUUUAAUAUAGCGACCAUAUCCACAUAUGAAUAUUUGCACUUUGAAUCCUGGAAAUUCAGUCUCGUCCUAUCCUGUUAAACAUGUACUUUAAUUUUUAUCCAUUUAAAACAUUUU
rnacentral:lncRNA from 1 species